GAUGAACGCUGGCGGCGUGCCUAAUACAUGCAAGUCGAGCGAACGGACGAUAAGCUUGCUUCUCUGAUGUUAGCGGCGGACGGGUGAGUAACACGUGGAUCACCUACCUAUCAGACUGGGAUAACUUCGGGAAACCGGCGCUAAUACCGGAUAAUCUUUUGCACCGCAUGGUUCAAAAGUGAAAGACGGUCUUGCUGUCACUUCUAGCUGGAUCCGCGCUGCAUUAGCUAGUUGGUAAGGUAACGGCUUAUCAAGGCAACGAUGCAUAGCCGACCUGAGAGGGUGAUCGGCCACACGGGAACUGAGACACGGUCCAGACUCCUACGGGAGGCAGCAGUAGGGAAUCUUCCGCAAUGGGCGAAAGCCUGACGGAGCAACGCCGCGUGAGUGAUGAAGGUCUUCGGAUCGUAAAACUCUGUUAUUAGGGAAGAACAGAUGUGUAAGGAACUGAGCACAGCUUGACGGUACCGAAUCAGAAAGCCACGGCUAACUACGUG
rnacentral:rRNA from 1 species